rnacentral:rRNA from 1 species
UACGUAGGGCGCAAGCGUUGUCCGGAAUUAUUGGGCGUAAAGAGCUCGUAGGCGGUUUGUCACGUCGGCUGUGAAACCCUGAGGCUCAACCUCAGGCCUGCAUUCGAUACGGGCAGACUAGAAUUCGGCAGGGGAGACUGGAAUUCCUGGUGUAGCGGUGAAAUGCGCAGAUAUCAGGAGGAACACCGGUGGCGAAGGCGGGUCUCUGGGCCGAUAUUGACGCUGAGGAGCGAAAGCGUGGGGAGCGAACAGG